rnacentral:rRNA from 1 species
GCAUAUCAAUAAGCGGAGGAAAAGAAACUAACAAGGCCCCCCUAGUAACGGCGAGCGAAGCGGGAAGAGCUCAAAUUUGAAAGCUGGCGUCUUCGGCGUCCGCGUUGUAAUCUCGAGACGUGUUUUCCGUGCGGCUCUAUGGACAAGUCCCUUGGAACAGGGCAUCGUAGAGGGUGAAAAUCCCGUACUUGCCAUGGAAGUACCGUGCUUUGUGAUACACGCUCCAAGAGUCGAGUAGUUUGGGAUUGCUGCUCAAAGUGGGUGGUAGACUCCAUCUAAAGCUAAAUAUCGGGGAGAGACCGAUAGCGAACAAGUACCGUGAGGGAAAGAUGAAAAGCACUUUGGAAAGAGAGUUAAAAGUACGUGAAAUUGUCGAAAGGGAAGCACUUGAAGUCAGCCAUGCUGCUUGAGACUCAGCCUGGCUUUUGCUUGGUGUAUUUCUCGGUAGCAAGCCAGCAUUGGUUUGUGUCCUCCGAAAAGCGUAUGGGGGAAUGUGGCAUCCUUCGGAUGUGUUAUAACCCUGUGCUGGAAACCACCACCUCAAACCAAAGAACCCGGUGGGCCCCUCUGGGCGGGUCUUCGGACACCUUCACACUUAGGAUGCUGGCGUAAUGGCUUUAAGUGGCCCGUCUUGAAACACGGACC